AAGAAAAUAUUUUUCUUUGCCAAAAUCUUUCAUGUGAAAACAUUUUCCAAAGUAGUCCUUAAACAUUGAAUCAUACGUGGAUGAUUUCAAAAACUUCCAAAACUUAAUAGAUUAUCAACAUUAGAAUAUGAGAGAGUGAAAAGAAUAAUUUGCAUAUGAUUGAACAAACCAAACUUGUGUUGAGGAGUUUGCUUUAGACCAUAUAAUGAUAUAUAUAGACUUCUUCUUCUCAAUUGGGUGUGCCUCCCAGUUUUUAGACAAAACAAUGCUUAACAAACUACGAACCAUCUUCAUCAUUCAUGCCCACAUGAGAGAAAUGUUUCACUAUACUACUCUUCAACUUCUACCUUAGCUUAUAACAAGUGACAUGAACUAUUUGUCAAGUGGUUUUGAGUUUAAAGAUUAUGUAAAUCCUCACUUUCAUCAUCUCUAUAAUAUCUCAUGUUAUUGGUUAUCACAUGCAAAAAUAUGUUUCAAAUAUUUUAGUACACCACUCAAAUUUAGGCAACAAUGAUUAUUUUAUUUGGUCCCAACAAGCAUCUCCAAUACAAAACAAAAAGUUGGUUACAAACCAAAAAAAAACACCAAACACGUUGUAACAAACUAUUUGGAUUUAUCUCAUAUUGUAAUCAUCUAGACAUAACUAGAAGAGAUUUGAUAGAAGCUCGUACAACCACAAAACCGUUGGUUAGAAAAUAAAUUAAGAAACACAAAACACGUUCUAACAAACUACUCAUAAUCUUUCUUAAUUCUUAAUUC
rnacentral:lncRNA from 1 species